AGAAUUAACGCUGGCAGAGUGCAUAACACAUGCAAGUCGAGCGCCCCGCAAGGGGAGCGGCGCACGGGUGAGUAACGCGUGGGAAUAUGCCCUUUGGUACGGAAUAGCCUCGGGAAACUGGGAGUAAAUACCGUAUAUGACGAAAGUUGAAAGAUUUAUCGCCAAAGGAUUAGCCCGCGUUAGAUUAGCUUGUUGGUGGGGUAAUGGCCUACCAAGGCGACGAUCUAUAGCUGGUCUGAGAGGAUGAUCAGCCACACUGGAACUGAGACACGGUCCAGACUCCUACGGGAGGCAGCAGUGGGAAUUUCACAAUGGCGAAAGCCUGAUGGAGCAACGCCGCGUGCAGGAUGAAGGCCUUAGGGUUGUAAACUGCUUUUAUAUGUGAAGAAUAUGACGGUAGCAUAUGAAUAAGGAUCGGCUAACUCCGUGCCAGCAGCCGC
rnacentral:rRNA from 1 species